ACAUGUGUACUACGUCAUCAGUAUACUGACGCUGGAAGAUGGCUGUCGUGUGGGUAAAUACUUUCGAUCGGUCCAAUCAUUCCUGUUUGUUACAGGCGUCAGAGAAGUUUAGUCUAUGAAAAUAACAACCUUAGCAAUCAUAAAAGAUAGGUUUGUUUUCAAGUUUACUUUUAAUACAUCAAAACCAAUACCAAGAAGACUCCACAACAGAACUAGCGUACAGAGAGCGAAAGAAAAAUGAUGAAAAUUAUGAACAAAAAGAAAGAGAAAGAAAGAAAACUGCCAGAGCAAACAGAACAGAGGAACAGAUUCAAACUGACAACAUAAAAUCUAAGGAGCGGCAAAAGAGGUACAGGGAAAGACUUAAAGCAAGGGACAGUAAACCUCAACAGAAUAAAUCAGCAAGGUUCUAACCAGGAAGGAGAGAGAGAAAAAGCGAGAAUACUGGAGACAGAAAAAGGCUGAAUCAAGAUCAAGACAUUCCAGCCAAAAAAGGAGGAGAGUAAAGGAAAAAGAUAGAGAGUAUCGAAGAACAUUGAAAGAAAGAAAAGCAAAUAUGACCGAGGAAACAAGACGAUGUAAACCAAAAAGUAAAAGGGCAGAAACACAGAGAAAGCUGCAAUUUCUGGACAAGUCUUCAGCUGUCUUGCAAAACAUCAUCCAUGAUGUCAAGGCAUUAAAAAGAAAGUUUAUAAGAAAAAUGUCUUUCUUGAAGAAGUACAGACUCAACAAUACAUUGUCAAAAUACAUUGGGAUCAGGGAAUCAGUUAUUAGCAAGGGCUCCAAAAUCCAAGAAGAUUCUCAAAGAAAGCGAAGGAAGGAUGCCACGAGUGAGGAUGUACAGAAAUUGAUUGGAGACUUUUUUGAAAGGCCAGAUGUCUCAACAAAUCUUCCGUCAGCAAAGAGAGUUUAACAGGACAAUUUGGAAAGGAAAGUGCUGGACAAGCCCAUAACCUCAGUGUGUGCAGAUUUCAAAGAAAACCACCCCAAUGUUUCUGUCAGUAAUGAGUCAUAUUUUUGAAGAAGAGGUUGUGGUGGAGGUAGGACCAGAGGAGGACAUGGUAGAGUGAGGACCAGAGGAGGGCAUGGUACAGCCAGAACCAGAGGUGGGCGUGGCAGAGCUAGGACCAGAGGAGGGCAUGGUAGAUUACUGACCAGAGGAGGGCAUGGUACCGCCAGAACUAGAGGUGGGCGUGGCAGAGCUAGAAUUACCGGUACAUGUAUCGGAGGAGACAGAUUCUGAGGAGUCUAGUACAGAGUCUGUGUACUCUAGCAUGGAUGAAAAUGACUUGGCAAAUUCUGAUGACUCAUCUGAUGACACAGGAUAUCUUCCUGACAGAGAAGAGAAUGUAGUCGACAACAGUUAUUCUGAAGAGGAAACCUUGCAUAUCUCUGGACAUAGUGGAAUUAUGGAGUCUUCAGGAUGAUAUGGCAAUGUCACCAGUAAUACCAGAUGUCAAUUUAAUUUUAAACUACGAAAUGAAGGAAGAAGAUUUAUAUUCUACAGUUAUGAAUGAUGGUGGACAACUGACCAUUUGUUCUCUUUUAUUCAAACACGAAAGGAAAGUGGCAGGAGGGACGUAUCAGGCAUGCUGUUGUGCAUGAUGAUGUUGCUGGGGAGCUCAACCCCCCAGACAUCAUCAUGCAUGGAUCAAGAUCAUUCUACAUAUUUAAGGACCUGUAGAAAAUGUGACUUAAGUUUGUCCACAUGCUCUACUCCAGAUAUAAAUAUUUUUCUCCCUCAACUGAGAUCUCAGCAGACAUCAACAGAGCACCCUGGGAUCUGUCAGUUUAUGUUACAUGUAAUUUUGAAACAUUAUGGAAUAUCCUCUGCAUCCAUCUGUAAAUUAAUUGUGCAAGUUUGAUGCAAGUUUAAAAAUGGUUUAUACUUCAAAUUUUGCUUGAUAAUUUGUUAUUAAUGCCCUUACAUUAAUCUGUUUUGUGAGGUCUUACAAAAUAAUGAAAUAGAAAAUAAUAGUUUUCUCCUUUUGACAUGCUUUUGAUGCAACAUUUUUGAAAUUUUGUGGAAAGUUUUUGUGCAUAUUCAAUUUGUUAUGGUCCACUCAACUUUCACUUAAGAAGAUAUUAAUGCCGUGAUUAGUGCAAAGAUUUAUUUCACAUAGACUAACAUUUACUAAGAGCAGCUCAUUCUUUUCACUUAUGAGUCUGUAAAAUUUGCCUGUUCAAAGUUUUCUUAAUAAGGUGUAAUAUUAUGACCAGGUAAAAUUGUGUCACCAUUAUUCUUGUAUUUCAAAUGAUGUAAAGUGCAAGUGGCAUAUAGCCAUUGCUUUAGUACAUCUGAUGUUGUCUGCUAAUUUGUUUCAUCAUCUGAGAUCUAAGGAAAAUAAGAUGGCCGUCAAUACACUUGAACAUGAAGAAAAACAUGAUACAAUUUUUGUAAUUACAUUUGUGUAUUGUUAUUAUUUCAUUUUAAUAACCAAUUUGUCAGAUGAAUUGAAUACAUAAUGUAAUCUAAAUAGAUUUUGGCAGUGUUUAGUUAACGGUACAUGUACUGUAGUAGUAUAUAAUGUAAAAUUUAUUUAUUUGAAUUUCCAAUCAUGACAAUCAGAUCUGGAGUGACUCAUUAAAAACUGCAAAUGUUAUUAUGAAACAUAAAUUAAAAAUUGGACAAUGUUUUGUGCUACAACGAAAAAUAUAUAAGCUGUGAGGUAACUGACCCAUAAUACUAAAAGCACAGUAUAUUCUCUAGAAAGGUAAUAUUGAUUUAUAUAUAAAAUACAAAACAAGUAAAUGAAUCUUUUCUAAAUUUUAUACUGCUGAUUUGUCAAACUGUUACGUUCAAGCGAGCUUCAAGCCUUUCAACAUGUCAAUCUGUCAAAAGUUACAUCCAUACAAAUAAUCAAGAUAAAAUUAUUAAAUGUUUUGAAAAUCUGUCGUCAACAAAAGCUGCGAUACUUACUUCCAUCAUGCGAUUAUAAAGUUCUGUGAAAGUUUACAACAUAUACUGUUUAUUCGGUGAAGUGAUGCAUUGAAAAAUAGAAAACUGGUGCAUAAUAGUGUUACGUCCAUCACACUUUUUAAAAGGGUUCAAUAGGAAUUUUGAAAGCAGCUACUCGAGAAUAAAGAAUAAUUAUACCCCCGCAAUGAAGUUAGGGGGGUAUACUGG